UUAUUUAAGAGCUAAAUAUUGUAAGUAUAUAAUAAUUACGAAAGCAAAAAAUUAUGGCGGUAUUUUAAGCUUUUCAGAGGAAUUUGCUCUUUAAUGGAUAAAACACCUAAAUCUUACUUAAAUUUGUUAAAUCAACUUGUAUACCACUAUUAAAACAAUUAUUAACUCUAAUUGUUAAUAUUUAAAACAUAAAUUAAUUUAAAUUAAGUCAAGGUGCAGUAAAAAUUUAAGAAUGAAGUGAAUUACAUUACUUUUAAGGGAAAUAAAAUUAAAUAAAGUUUAGGAUUUGAAAGUAAAAUUAAAAUAGAAUGUUAAUUUGAAUUAAGCUCUAAAAUAUGUACAUAUC
rnacentral:rRNA from 1 species